GUGUUCAUGUCGUGCCAAUAUACAAUAUAAACAUGGUUAGGAUGGACACGAACACAAUACAAUUAAUGAAUCAUGCCAAAAAUGUAAACACGAACAUGACCCUUUUAUUAUAUGGCUUAUACAAUACAACACAAUUAGACAUGACCCGACCCAACAUAAAUCAAUAGGUUUUGAUACAAUUCAACAUUUUUAAUCUUUAUAAAACAAUAUAUUACAUAAAAUUACACAUUAAUUUUAGGCAAAAAGACUUUAUAAAUCCCGGACAGUUAAUCUUAGAGUCAAAUAAGCUCUUGUUAAUUUAGUUGAUUCAUUUAAACUCUUGAUAAUUACUCUAAGAGUCAAAUCAGCCCUUAUUAAUUAGUUGACCCAUUUAAGCCCUGUGACAAUUACUAUUAAAGUUAAAUAAACUCUUGUCAAUUUAGUU
rnacentral:misc_RNA from 1 species